UACGUAGGGGGCAAGCGUUGUCCGGAUUUAUUGGGCGUAAAGAGCGUGUAGGCGGCUUUGCAAGUCCGUUGUGAAAACUCGAGGCUCAACCUCGAGACGCCGGUGGAAACUGCAAAGCUAGAGUCCGGAAGAGGAGAGUGGAAUUCCUGGUGUAGCGGUGAAAUGCGCAGAUAUCAGGAGGAACACCCGUAGCGAAGGCGGCACUCUGGGCCGGAACUGACGCUGAGGAGCGAAAGCGUGGGGAGCGAACAGG
rnacentral:rRNA from 1 species